UACGAAGGGGCUAGCGUUGCUCGGAAUCACUGGGCGUAAAGCGCACGUAGGCGGAUUGUUAAGUCAGGGGUGAAAUCCUGGAGCUCAACUCCAGAACUGCCUUUGAUACUGGCGAUCUUGAGUCCGGGAGAGGUGAGUGGAACUGCGAGUGUAGAGGUGAAAUUCGUAGAUAUUCGCAAGAACACCAGUGGCGAAGGCGGCUCACUGGCCCGGUACUGACGCUGAGAUACGAAAGCGUGGGGAGCAAC
rnacentral:rRNA from 1 species